rnacentral:rRNA from 1 species
UAAUACAGAGGUCCCAAGCGUUGUUCGGAUUCACUGGGCGUAAAGGGUGCGUAGGUGGUGAGGUAAGUCUGAUGUGAAAUCCCGCAGCUCAACUGCGGAACUGCAUCGGAUACUAUCUUGCUAGAGGGUUUGAGGGGGGACUGGAAUUCUCGGUGUAGCAGUGAAAUGCGUAGAUAUCGAGAGGAACACCAGUGGCGAAGGCGAGUCCCUGGAAAACUCCUGACACUGAGGCACGAAAGCUAGGGGAGCAAACAGGAUUAGAUACCCUGGUAGUCCUAGCCGUAAACGGUGCACGUUUGCUGUGAGUGGAAUCGACCCCACUCGUGGCGUAGCCAACGCGUUAAACGUGCCGCCUGGGAAGUACGGUCGCAAGAUUA